rnacentral:misc_RNA from 1 species
GAGCCAGCAGCCGCGGUAAUACGGGAGCGAUAUGACGGUACUUGAGGAAUAGCCACGCUAAUUCGAGCCGCAGCGCGGUAAUACGGGAGUGCAGCGUAUCCGAAUAUGGCGUAAAGCGUCGCAGGCGGCUUUUCAAGUCUGCUGUUAAAGCGUGGAGCUUAACUCCAUCAUGGCAGUGGAAACU